rnacentral:rRNA from 1 species
UAGUCAUAUGCUUGUCUCAAAGAUUAAGCCAUGCAUGUCUAAGUAUAAGCAAUUAUACAGCGAAACUGCGAAUGGCUCAUUAUAUAAGUUAUCGUUUAUUUGAUAGUACCUUACUACUUGGAUAACCGUGGUAAUUCUAGAGCUAAUACAUGCUAAAAAUCCCGACUUCGGAAGGGAUGUGUUUAUUAGAUUAAAAACCAAUGCCCUUCGGGGCGCUCUGGUGAUUCAUGAUAACCUGUCGAAUCGCAUGGCCUUGUGCCGGCGAUGGUUCAUUCAAAUUUCUUCCCUAUCAACUUUCGAUGUUUGGGUAUUGGCCAAACAUGGUUGCAACGGGUAACGGAGGGUUAGGGCUCGACCCCGGAGAAGGAGCCUGAGAAACGGCUACUACAUCCAAGGAAGGCAGCAGGCGCGCAAAUUACCCAAUCCCGACUCGGGGAGGUAGUGACAAUAAAUACUGAGACAGGGCUCUUUAGGGUCUUGUAAUUGGAAUGAGUACAAUUUAAAUCCCUUAACGAGGAACAAUUGGAGGACAAGUCUGGUGCCAGCAGCC